UAAGUCAUGCUUUCAGGGAUCAUUUCUAUAGCUGGUAGCCAGAGAAGUGUGCUUGACAGUGGUGGCUGGUCUCACCAAUCAUGAUUAUUAGUAAUUGGGCUUCCUUCUGAGCAUCUCUCCUAUGGUGGCUUCUUUUCACUUUGGAAGACUUCCUUUUCUUUUUUAAAAGAAGCUGUCUGAGGGGA